UGGGCGGGCACCAUGUGGACUCCACUUGGCACUGGGCCGAUGGGCGGAUGCCAGAGCCAGAGCAAAGGCCUCGUUAGCCCCUCGGGGAGGGCACGGCAGGGCCGGGCGACUCAGGAGGGCUGCGGGGUGACGUCUGAUUGAGCCUGGAAGGACAGGCCGACCACAGGAUGGAGGCCACAGCAUCCUUCCCGGAGUCUGACCCCACGCUGGAGACAGAGGGGCUGGGCUGGGCUGGGCAACCUAGACCCGGGAGCCCAUCUGUCCAGCCACCAGCGUCCGUCUGUCUGGGUCCCUGCUAGGGAGAGUCUGCAGCAGGGAGACCCCGGCAGCUUCGAGUAUGGAGGGGAGACUCUGGCCGCCUGAGACGGGAGGGCAUCUUCCUAGGCUUUCCUCCAGCCAAGAGUGGAGCUGGGACCUGGGAACCUCCCUGGAACCACCCCUGCUCUCCGGCAAGGCGUUCCACCAGCCUGUGUCUACACACGUAGCCCCGCAGAGCAGGCUUCGUGAUGCCUGGAGACACCCACUUCCCCUUCCUUCUCCUGGGACUUCUCAGUCACACGGGCUGAGCUGCAGAGGAGCUGGCUGCCAGGUGCUGAGCCGCCCCAAGAAAAAGCCCUCGUGGCAAGAAACUGAGGCCUCCAGCCAGCAGUCAGGGACCCGAGGCCUGAGACGGUGGAGGGUGAGCUUGCAAAGGGACCCCACAGUCGGGCCUUGAGAGGCCCACGGGCCUGGCCCACACCUCGGCUGCAGCCUUGUGAAGGUCCCUGAGCAGGGGACCCAGACUUCUGUCCUACAGAAACUUGGAGAUAAUAAAUGCCUGCUCUUCUACGGCACUGAGUGUCGGGUGAUUUGUUACGGGCAGUAGACAGCUAAUACCUGCCCCUUAGGACACCAAGUCCUCGCCUCCUGGAGGCCCAAGCCCCAGGGAGCCAUGCCUGACUUGCCGCCUGUCGAUGGGCCACGCGUUCCUUGUUGAUGCCAUUCUGGGGUCCCCUCACCCUGACAUACUAGGAGCCAGUUCCGAGGGAGGCUCUUCUGCCACCAACCCUGGCCCAGGGGGACACUGAGCUCCUUGAUGCUGAGGGCCGGUGGUUCCUUAUCGCCUGGCGACCAGCGUGUCCUCCGGGUCCUUUUCCAAUACCAGCACCUCCCAGCUCAAAAACACAACCCAGCACUCCUGUUCCUCCGUCUCCCGGCCCUCCCUCGACACUGGGCCGAGGCAGCCUGUGCACCUGCCCCAAGCUCCCAGGAGCUGACCCAGCAGCGGAUUCGGCCUGGUUCCCGGCAUCCUUACCGGGAUUUGGAAAAUGCUCCUUUCAAUCAAUAAAGGCCCCACGCGGGCCUUCUUCCGCCCUCCCCUCCAGCAUCCUCCAUCUCCAUUUCCACCCGUCCUCCCCGUCCUGCCAGGCCGCAGCUCCUUGCAGAAUAACCCACACCCUCCAGUCGCAGGGACAGAACACCCUAGUUACUGGCCUAGAAUUUUGCGGGGGACGAGGACAGGCAGACCCUAAGGAGGACACUCGCCUCAGGUGAGACCUUUGCAAGGUCCCGGCAGUGGGAGCCACUCCCGCCACUGCGGAGGGAACAGAGGGCAGGGAUCUAAGAGGCUUCUACCCAAAUACCGCAUCCAGGUCAUAGCGUCCCACCCCCCGCUGCCACCGGGGCCCUGACUUCAACACGGGAGGCAGACCAGACGCCACCGCCCUGGGAUCAGAGCUUGGGCCCGAGGGUUGGCCCCGUCUGCACUCUGGCUUUCGGAAUGAGGCUCGCUGUCAAUGCUGUGGUGGAGCUGCAUUCGUUUCCGGGGCUUCUAUAACAAGGUGCCAUAGAACAGGGCUCCAACAGCAGCCCAUUCUCCCACUGUCCUGGAGGCUGGAAGUUCGAGACCAAGGUGCCUGCAGAGUUGGUUCCUCCUGAGGCCUUUCUCCCUGGCUUGUAGAUGGCCCUCUUCUCCUGACUCCUCACACAGAGUCAUCCCUCUGUGUGUAUCUGUGUCCUAGUCUCUCUUCUUUUUCUUUUCGCUUCUUCUUUUUUUUUUUUUGAAGACAGGGUCUCUCUCUCUCUGUCACCCAGGCUGGAGUGCAGUGGUGUUAUCAUAGCUCACUGCAGCCUAGACCUCCCAGGCUCAGGUGAUGCUCCUACCUCAGCCUCCCAAGUAGCUGGGACCACAGACAUGUGUCACCACACCCGACUAAUUUUUUAUAUUUUGUUGUAGAGAUGGGGUCUCACUAUGUUGCCCAGGCUCAACUGGCUUUAAGCCAUCCUCCCACCUCGACCUUCCAAAGUGUUGGGAUUACAGGUGUGAGCCACUGAGCCUGGCCCUUAUCUCUUUUUCUCAGGACACGACUCAGGCCGGGCGUGGUGGCUCAUGCCUAUAAUCCCAGCACAUUGGGAGGCCAAGACGGGCGGAUCACCUGAGGUCAGGAGUUCCAGACCAGCCUGGUCAGCAUGGUGAAACCCCGUCUCUACUAAAAAUAUAAAAAUUAGCCAGGUGUGGUGGCCAGCGCCUGUAAUCCCAGCUACUCGGGAGGCUGAGGCAGGAGAAUCGCUUGAACCCAGGAGGCGGAGGUUGCAGUGAGCCAAGAUCGCACCAUUGCACUCUAGCCUGGGUGACAGAGUGGGACUCCGUCUCAAAAAAUAAAAAAAGUGGGGGAUGGGGGUGGGGGUGGGGGUGGGCCAGGCGCGGUGGCUCACGCCUGUAAUCCCAUCACUUUGGGAGGCCGAGACGGGUGGAUCACCUGAGGUCAGAAGUUCGAGACCAGCCUGACCAACAUGGGGAAACUUCAUCUCUACUAAAAAAUACAAAAAUUAGCCGGGUGUGGUGGUGGGUGCCUGUAAUCCCAGGUGCUCAGGAGGCGAAGCAGAAGAAUCACUUGAACCCAAGAGGUGGAGGUUGCAGUGAGCCAAGCUCGUGACACUGCACUCCAGACUGGGUGACAGAGCAAGACUUCAUUUCAAAGGAAAAAAAAAACAAGGCCAGCGGUCAUGUGGGAACAGGACUCGCUGUAAUCCCCUCUUUAAAGGCCAUAUCUGUAAAUACAG
rnacentral:lncRNA from 10 species